AGUCUAGUGACGAGGUAUUAAUGCAUGAUCCAACACUUGAUCCAAGGAUGGCUUAAGCUGUACAUAUGAUGUCAUCUUUGCAUCUGAAUCCAC
rfam:Triticum urartu cultivar G1812 contig952616, whole genome shotgun sequence.